rnacentral:rRNA from 1 species
UACGUAGGGUGCAAGCGUUGUCCGGAAUUAUUGGGCGUAAAGAGCUCGUAGGCGGUCUGUCGCGUCUGCUGUGAAAACUCAGGGCUUAACCCUGAGCUUGCAGUGGGUACGGGCAGACUAGAGUGAUGUAGGGGAGACUGGAAUUCCUGGUGUAGCGGUGAAAUGCGCAGAUAUCAGGAGGAACACCGAUGGCGAAGGCAGGUCUCUGGGCAUUAACUGACGCUGAGGAGCGAAAGCAUGGGAAGCGAACAGG